AACUCAAAGGAAUUGACGGGGACCCGCACAAGCGGUGGAGCAUGUGGUUUAAUUCGAUGCAACGCGAAAAACCUUACCACUCCUUGACAUGGAGAUUAGAUCCUUCUUAACGGAAGGGCGCAGUUCGGCUGGAUCUCGCACAGGUGCUGCAUGGCUGUCGUCAGCUCGUGUCGUGAGAUGUUGGGUUAAGUCCCGCAACGAGCGUAACCCUCAUCCUUAGUUGCCAGCGGGUAAUGCCGGGCACUUUAAGGAAACUGCCGGUGGUAAACUGGAGGAAGGUGGGGAUGAUGUCAAGUCAGCACGGCCCUUAUGGGGUGGGCUACACACGUGCUACAAUGGUGACUACAAUAGGUUGCAAUGUCGCAAGGCUGAGCUAAUCCGUAAAAGUCAUCUCAGUUCGGAUUGUCCUCUGCAACUCGAGGGCAUGAAGUCGGAAUCGCUAGUAAUCGUGGAUCAGCAUGCCACGGUGAAUACGUUCUCGGGUCUUGUACACACUGCCCGUCACGCCAUGGGAAUUGGCUUAACUCGAAGCUGGUGCGC
rnacentral:rRNA from 1 species